rnacentral:rRNA from 1 species
UACGUAGGGUGCAAGCGUUAAUCGGAAUUACUGGGCGUAAAGCGUGCGCAGGCGGUUUUGUAAGUCAGAUGUGAAAUCCCCGGGCUUAACCUGGGAACUGCGUUUGAAACUACAAGGCUAGAGUGUGGCAGAGGGGGGUGGAAUUCCACGUGUAGCAGUGAAAUGCGUAGAUAUCGGAAGGAACAUCAGUGGCGAAAGCGACUUCCUGGACCAGUACCGACGUUCAGGCACGAAAGCGUGGGGAGCAAACAGG